UCACCUGUUUUUCAAAAACAUGUCUUUUUGAAUUUAAUUUAAAGUCUAAUCUGCUCCAUGAAUAAAUUUUAAAUAGCUGCAGUAUUAAUAACUGUACAAAGGUAGCAUAAUAAUUAGUCUUUUAAUUGGAGGCUAGAAUGAAUGAUUAAAUGAGAUAAAAACUAUAUUAAAUUUUAAAAAUUGAAUUUUUUUUUAAAUUAAAAAAUUUAAAUUAAAUUUAAGGACGAGAAGACCCUAUAGAAUUUUUAGAAUAUUUAAAUUAAUUUAUUUAUAAAUUUAAAUUAUUUUUUUAAUUGGGGAAAUUUUAAAAUUUAUAUAAUUUUUAAUUAAAAUUUAACAUUAAUAUAUGAUUAAUUAAUAGUUUAUAAAAAUAAAAUUUUAAAUUACCUUAGGGAUAACAGCAUAAUUUUUUUAAAAAGUUCAAAUUUGUAAAAAAGUUUAUGACCUCG
rnacentral:rRNA from 1 species